rnacentral:rRNA from 1 species
GACGAACGCUGGCGGCGCGCUUAACACAUGCAAGUCGAACGGAAAGGCCUGCUUUCCCUUGUGGAUUGCGGGUACUCGAGUGGCGAACGGGUGAGUAACACGUGCGUGAUCUGCCCCCAACUUGGGUAUAAGCCUGGGAAACUGGGUCUUAUUACCGAUAGGACUGCAGGGUUGUGGCUGUGGUGGAAAACGAAUUUCUAGUGGGUGGGAGUGCGCUCGCGGCCUAUCAGCUUGUUGGUGGGGUAAUGGCCUCCCAAGGCGGCGACGGGUAGCCGGCCUGGGAGUGUGGACGCCCACAUUGGGACUGAGAUACGGCCCAGACUCCUACGGGAGGCAGCAGUGGGGAAUAGUGCACAAUGGGCGGAAGCCUGAUGCAGCGACGCCGCGUGGAGGAUGACGGGCUUCGGGUUGUAAGCUCCUUUCGACCACGAGGAAGCCACCUGGUUGGAAGGGUGGUGACGGUAGUUGUAGAAGAAGCACCGGCUAACUACGUG